UGGCGACCGGCGCACGGGUGAGUAACACGUAUCCAACCUGCCUUCCACUCGGGAAUAGCCUUUCGAAAGAAAGAUUAAUGUCCGAUGGUACUGGUUUCUCGCAUGAGAGACUUUUUAAAGAAUUUCGGUGGAAGAUGGGGAUGCGUUCCAUUAGGCAGUUGGCGGGGUAACGGCCCACCAAACCGACGAUGGAUAGGGGUUCUGAGAGGAAGGUCCCCCACAUUGGAACUGAGACACGGUCCAAACUCCUACGGGAGGCAGCAGUGAGGAAUAUUGGUCAAUGGACGAGAGUCUGAACCAGCCAAGUAGCGUGAAGGAUGACUGCCCUAUGGGUUGUAAACUUCUUUUAUACGGGAAUAAAGUGAAGCACGUGUGCUUUUUUGUAUGUACCGUAUGAAUAAGGAUCGGCUAACUCCGUGC
rnacentral:rRNA from 1 species